AGAGCAUGGAGAAGGACUUCAGGUUCUUCAUUACGAAGUGGGACAGAAAUAUGAACCUCAUUUUGAUUACUUCCUUGACGACUACAAUACAAAGAAUGGAGGUCAACGUAUAGCAACAGUGCUUAUGUACCUCUCAGACGUCGAAGAAGGAGGCGAGACAGUGUUCCCUGCUGCCAAAGGAAACUUUAGUUCUGUACCUUGGUGGAAUGAGCUUUCUGAUUGUGGGAAGAAAGGACUUUCCGUUAAACCGAAGAGGGGCGAUGCAUUGCUUUUCUGGAGCAUGAAGCCCGAUGCCUCUCUAGAUCCUUCAAGUUUGCAUGGUGGCUGUCCUGUUAUCAAGGGGAAUAAAUGGUCUGCUACUAAAUGGAUGCGAGUAGAUGAAUACAAAGCUUGAGUUGAUGUGACCAAGGUUGGUUGACAUUUCUUGUUACUGCUCAAAGUCACAGGUGCAUUUUCUGUAGGGAAUCUCAUCAUUUCUAUAAUUUAACCUUACUACUCGAUCCCUGAAUCUAUGAAUUUUGAUGUGCUUAUCACAAGUUUACAUUGUCAUCGAUUUCUUGUUUUUAUGGCCACGAGAGAAUAAGAGUUCAUAUUUUUGCCAGAAAUGCCACCUCCAAACCUCACUUACAGAUUCAUGUACAACUACCUUACUAGAACAUUGCUAUAUUUUUCUAUUUGAUACAACCUUUUAAUGCCUUCAUUCUUCCAAUUAGCUACCCAUUUGCAAUGAAAAGUGGGAUAAGGGUGAUCUCUUUCUAGA